GAUGAAAGAGACUUUUAAUUCAUCAUGUGCUACUACUCUGAAUACUUGUUCUUCCAUCUCAUCUUGUGGAUUUAUCAUCUUGGCCAUUAUCAUGUAUUCUUCCAAAAUUCCUAUAAAUGUUCUAUCAUCUUUGGCUAGGUCUAUCUUAUAUUCGCAGUGCCUCAACUCUCUCCAUCCAUAUGCAGAUCUUAGGGUUUAUGAGAAGAUAGAUGAAAUAGAGGCAAUGUUACAAUCCGAAACAGAGAUGACAACCUUAUGGAAGUGCCUAACAGCUUGUACAGGAGACGAGCUUAAUAAUCAUCCAAAUUUGCAUGAGCCCCGGCAAUAACUUCUCCCUACACAACAAAGACC
rnacentral:lncRNA from 1 species